rnacentral:rRNA from 1 species
UGGCGGACGGGUGAGUAACGCGUGGGUAACCUGCCUCAUACAGGGGGAUAACAGUUAGAAAUGACUGCUAAAACCGCAUAAGCGCACAAGACCGCAUGGUUUGGUGUGAAAAACUCCGGUGGUAUGAGAUGGACCCGCGUCUGAUUAGCUAGUUGGAGAGGUAACGGCUCACCAAGGCGACGAUCAGUAGCCGACCUGAGAGGGUGACCGGCCACAUUGGGACUGAGACACGGCCCAAACUCCUACGGAAGGCAGCAG